ACGGGAGGCAGCAGUGGGGAAUAUUGCACAAUGGGGGAAACCCUGAUGCAGCGACGCCGCGUGAGUGAAGAAGUAUUUCGGUAUGUAAAGCUCUAUCAGCAGGGACGAAAAUGACGGUACCUGACUAAGAAGCCCCGGCUAACUACGUGCCAGCAGCCGCGGUAAUACGUAGGGGGCAAGCGUUGUCCGGAAUUACUGGGUGUAAAGGGAGCGUAGGCGGGAUUGCAAGUCAGAUGUGAAAACUACGGGCUCAACCUGUAGACUGCAUUUGAAACUGUAGUUCUUGAGUGAAGUAGAGGUAAGCGGAAUUCCUAGUGUAGCGGUGAAAUGCGUAGAUAUUAGGAGGAACAUCGGUGGCGAAGGCGGCUUACUGGGCUUUUACUGACGCUGAGGCUCGAAAGCGUGGGGAGCAAACAGGAUUAGAUACCCUGGUA
rnacentral:rRNA from 1 species